ensembl:lncRNA
CACAGGUGUCACAGCACAUCACAGCCCAGCCAGCCCCACCUUUGUCCCCACCCCCACUCAGCCACUCACAGAGGCCCUGGUGUGCUGUUUAAGGCUGCCUUGGAGGGAAUCUUCUUCCAAGAACUCCCACUGUUCUUUCUUUUGGGUUUGUUCUCAUCUGCCCUCCACUGACAAUCUCCCACAUCUCCAUGUUGGAAGGCACCCUUGAGGCUCACUAACUUUUGACUCCUCACUGCUUGAGCUACACGUCAAUCUCUGAGUCAGUGAGGUUGAAAAGGUCCCUGAUGAUCACACAGUCCAACUGCAACCUUAACACUGCCUAUUGCACCAAUCAGCCAGGUCCCCAAAUGCCACAUCCCCAUGACUUUUAAACCUUUCUGAAGGUGCUGGCUCAGCCAUUUCCCUAGGCAGCAGCCUGUUCCCAAGCUAGACAGCCUUUUUGUUGAAGGAAGAUUUCCUAGAGGUUCAAUCUAAACCUCCCGGGGCGCAACUUGAGGUCAUUUUCCUCUGAUUUCCUCCUGUUGUUUGUUCCCUGAGCUAAUAGCAUGAGCCCCACUGAGCUCCAACCUCCUUUCAGGAACCAGGGGCAUGGUGUCAGGUGCUUGGGCUGAGAAAAUGGAAAUGUUUGGAGUGAAAGUCAGCGCUGCAAUGUCCCUGGAUGCCCGUGUGGAUUUUGCUACCCUGCAAGGACACACUGUGAGGAGGGGAUCCCAAGAAACGCCCUCUCGCUCGGGGGCCUUCCAUGGCACGACAGCACAAGUGAGAGCCCUUGCUUGGCCUUUGCCUUCAGCAAGGCCCCGGGUUGGGCCAAGCCUCAAUGCCCUGUGAAAGCAGCUCAGAUUGGCCGUGCCCAGCAUGAAGGAUGCCAGAGGACAGAGAGGCAGGCUCAGCAGCGUGCUAGUGCAGUCCAGCUUAGGCUGCAGCUUUCUGCCCUUGUAUCUCUGGAGCCUUGGAGGGGAAGGCUGCGUGGCUUGCGGUGACUUUCACCAGCGCUCCUGCUAACAGCACUGGGCACCCCAAGGCUCUUUGGUCUCAGCGCAGGCAAGAGCAGGAAGAAACAAACCCUCACCUGGCUUUGUAAACCCCUGAGACAAGCAAAGACGAGCAGUGUGCAGAGAAGGGACCAUUGGCACUGCGCAGCAGCUUCUCUCCGCCAUAAAUCACAGAAAAUUCAAACAUUACUGGUUGGCUUUGGCCUUUGUGUUGUGUUUUAUUUGGAGCUUUGUUUCUCAAAGGAAAACCUGUUGCAUUUGCCAUAUUGCACAGCUGGAUUGGUGAGGUCCGCUCUCUGACUGGGAGCUGCCUAGAUGGAACUCACCAGUGUGCCUUUGCCCCUCUCUUUCCUCGGUUACGAUGUGUCAGUUCCAGAGCUUGAUGGGUAACAUCAGCGUUUCCCUUUUCUCCCCUUGUGCUCAGGAGCUGGGGGAGCUGCUGACAUCCUCUCCUGCCCCAGCUUGACCCUCGAAGGUUUCUGCAGUAGGGGAAGGUGGCACGUAGCCAGUGGCUCAGCUGCCAGCACCGGUGCUAGCCAACGGGGAAGGCUCAUCUCUAUGGCUUGAGUCAGCUCACAGCUGCCAGCAUCUGCACUGUGUCCUGCCCCACAUUCGUCCUGCCACGCAGUCGGAGGGCACAAAAGUCCCCCUGGAAACCACGUCCCCAGGUGCCACAUCCACUUGACAUUUGUCAAGUGCAUCGAGCAAUGAGAAUUGCACGGACUCCACGGGCAGCCUGUGCCAGUGCUUGACAACCCUUGGAGAGGAGAAAUUUCUCCCUAAACGCAAUCUCUGCCUCCCCUGGCGGAGUGCUGACUUGAGGCCAUUUCCUCUUG